rnacentral:rRNA from 1 species
GACGUAGGAUGCAAGCGUUGUCCGGAUUUAUUGGGCGUAAAGAGUUCGUAGGUGGUUCGUUAAGUCUGAUGUUAAAGACUGGGGCUCAACCCUGGAAGUGCAUUGGAUACUGGCGGACUUGAGUGUGGUAGAGGCAAUCGGAAUUCCAGGUGUAGCGGUGAAAUGCGUAGAUAUCGGGAGGAACACCUAUGGCGAAGGCAGCUCGCUGGGACGUUACUGACGCUGAGACGCGAAAGCGUGGGGAGCAAACAGG